rnacentral:rRNA from 1 species
GUUUGAUCCUGGCUCAGGAUGAACGCUAGCUACAGGCUUAACACAUGCAAGUCGAGGGGAAACGAUAGAGAAAGCUUGCUUUUUCUAGGCGUCGACCGGCGCACGGGUGAGUAACGCGUAUCCAACCUGCCCAUCACUUGGGGAUAACCUUGCGAAAGUAAGACUAAUACCCAAUGAUAUCUCUAGAAGACAUCUGAAAGAGAUUAAAGAUUUAUCGGUGAUGGAUGGGGAUGCGUCUGAUUAGCUUGUUGGCGGGGUAACGGCCCACCAAGGCGAUGAUCAGUAGGGGUUCUGAGAGGAAGGUCCCCCACAUUGGAACUGAGACACGGUCCAAACUCCUACGGGAGGCAGCAGUGAGGAAUAUUGGUCAAUGGGCGAGAGCCUGAACCAGCCAAGUAGCGUGCAGGAAGACGGCCCUAUGGGUUGUAAACUGCUUUUAUAAGGGAAUAAAGUGAGUCUCGUGAGACUUUUUGCAUGUACCUUAUGAAUAAGGACCGGCUAAUUCCGUGCCAGCAGCCGCGGUAAUACGGAAGGUCCGGGCGUUAUCCGGAUUUAUUGGGUUUAAAGGGAGCGUAGGCCGGAGAUUAAGCGUGUUGUGAAAUGUAGAUGCUCAACAUCUGCACUGCAGCGCGAACUGGUUUCCUUGAGUACGCACAAAGUGGGCGGAAUUCGUCGUGUAGCGGUGAAAUGCUUAGAUAUGACGAAGAACUCCGAUUGCGAAGGCAGCCUGCUGUAGCGUAACUGACGCUGAAGCUCGAAAGCGUGGGUAUCGAACAGGAUUAGAUACCCUGGUAGUCCACGCGGUAAACGAUGGAUGCUCGCUGUUUGCGUCUGACGUAAGCGGCCAAGCGAAAGCGUUAAGCAUCCCACCUGGGGAGUACGCCGGCAAC